AAUCAACGCUGGCGGCGUGCCUAACACAUGCAAGUCGAGCGAGAAAGGGGACUUCGGUCCCCAAGUACAGCGGCGCACGGGUGAGUAACGCGUGGGUAAUCAACCUUCGAGUGGGGAAUAACAGCGGGAAACUGCUGCUAAUUCCGCAUGAUGUUCACAGACUUCGGUUUGUGGACCAAAGCCGGGGACCUUCGGGCCUGGCGCUUGAAGACGAGCCCGCGUCCGAUUAGUUUGUUGGUGGGGUAAUGGCCUACCAAGACUUCGAUCGGUAGCCGGCCUGAGAGGGCGGACGGCCACACUGGAACUGAGACACGGUCCAG
rnacentral:rRNA from 1 species